rnacentral:rRNA from 1 species
UACGGAGGGUGCAAGCGUUAAUCGGAAUUACUGGGCGUAAAGCGUGCGCAGGCGGUUUGUUAAGUCUGCUGUGAAAUCCCCGAGCUCAACUUGGGAAUUGCAGUGGAUACUGGCAGGCUGGAGUAUGGUAGAGGAAGGUGGAAUUCCCGGUGUAGCAGUGAAAUUCGUAGAUAUUCGGAGGAACACCAGUGGCGAAGGCGGCUCACUGGUCCGGUACUGACGCUGAGGUGCGAAAGCGUGGGGAGCAAACAGG